rnacentral:rRNA from 1 species
GUCGAACGAUAUCAUCCAGCUUGCUGGAUGAGAAAGUGGCGCACGGGUGCGUAACGCGUAUGCAACCUACCUUCAUCUGGGGGAUAGCCCGGAGAAAUCCGGAUUAAUACCGCAUAAAAUCACAGCACUGCAUAGUGCAAUGAUCAAACAUUUAUGGGACGGAGAUGGGCAUGCGUGUCAUUAGCUAGUUGGCGGGGUAACGGCCCACCAAGGCGACGAUGACUAGGGGAUCUGAGAGGAUGGCCCCCCACACUGGUACUGAGACACGGACCAGACUCCUACGGGAGGCAGCAGUAAGGAAUAUUGGUCAAUGGAGGCAACUCUGAACCANNCAUGCCGCGUGCAGGAAGACUGCCCUAUGGGUUGUAAACUGCUUUUAUCCGGGAAUAAACCUAUCUACGUGUAGAUAGCUGAAUGUACCGGAAGAAUAAGGAUCGGCUAACUCCGUGCCAGCAGCCGCGGUAAUACGGAGGAUCCAAGCGUUAUCCGGAUUUAUUGGGUUUAAAGGGUGCGUAGGCGGCCUGUUAAGUCAGGGGUGAAAGACGGUAGCUCAACUAUCGCAGUGCCCUUGAUACUGAUGGGCUUGAAUGGACUAGAGGUAGGCGGAAUGAGACAAGUAGCGGUGAAAUGCAUAGAUAUGUCUCAGAACACCGAUUGCGAAGGCAGCUUACUAUGGUCUUAUUGACGCUGAGGCACGAAAGCGUGGGGAUCAAACAGGAUUAGAUACCCUGGUAGUCCACGCCCUAAACGAUGAACACUCGCUGAUGGCGAUACACAGUCAGCGGCUAAGCGAAAGCGUU